GACGAACGCUGGCGGCGUGCCUAAUACAUGCAAGUAGAACGCUGAAGAGAGGAGCUUGCUCUUCUUGGAUGAGUUGCGAACGGGUGAGUAACGCGUAGGUAACCUGCCUUGUAGCGGGGGAUAACUAUUGGAAACGAUAGCUAAUACCGCAUAACCAUGGAUGACUCAUGUCAUUUAUUUGAAAGGGGCAAAUGCUCCGCUACAAGAUGGACCUGGGUUGUAUUAGCUAGUAGGUGAGGUAACGGCUCACCUAGGCGACGAUACAUAGCCGACCUGAGAGGGUGAUCGGCCACACUGGGACUGAGACACGGCCCAGACUCCUACGGGAGGCAGCAGUAGGGAAUCUUCGGCAAUGGGGGCAACCCUGACCGAGCAACGCCGCGUGAGUGAAGAAGGUUUUCGGAUCGUAAAGCUCUGUUGUAAGUCAAGAACGAGUGCGAGAGUGGAAAGUUCGCACUGUGACGGUAGCUUACCAGAAAGGGACGGCUAACUACGUGCCAGCCGCCGCGGUAA
rnacentral:rRNA from 1 species